UCUGGUAGGGAUUUCCCAUGCACUUUCAUGAUAUUCUUCAGCUUAUCUCUGGAAGACCUGACUCUUUCUGACUCAACCAUUGCUUCACUGAAUGAUAACUUUUGCUGUUCCUGCAAUUUGAUAAUGGUCUCUUGACAGGAUUUAAGGGCAGUUGCUGUCAUUAAAGCCCUGGCUUCGUUAUCUUCAAGCACUGCACUUUCAUUGAACUCCUCUUGGAAUCCUUCCACUGUUGACUUGUGGAUUUUGCGAGGAUCAACCGCCGUAAAUGCCUUUGGAAGAUUGUCAUCAUCCUCUUCUAGCAUUGAGUACUGGACCUGGUCAGGGAAAGCAGUUGCAAUAGUAUGGUUUGCUUUGUGUAGCUCUCCUGAUAUGUGGUCGUAGCGUUCAGCAAGUGCUCUGUAUGCCCGAUACGCCUCUUCCACUGAACUGAUGACCUCUGGUCGCCUCUUGUAAUACAUCUCUGCCCUUUUUGCAAAGGAAUCAGCUUCCUCCCCAAGGAGGAAGAGAAUGAAUUUGACCCUGUCCUCCAUAUCUUCACAGUAACAGCAAAGUCAAUAAAAAAAUACCGUGCUGUUUAACGGUUAGAAAUAAAGGGUAAUUGCAGAAAUAUGUUUUUAGAAGAUAUUAUAAGAUACUCCAAAUAGAAGUGUAAAAGUUAGCAAUUUUGCUUGGUAUAUGGUGUUGAUAUCAAAGUGGUUUGUCCUUUUCCUUUAUGUGCUUGCCUUGUUUGAAAUUUACGCUUGCUGUUUUUUAUUUGCUAUUGAUGCUUAUGUAGAUAUUUUUCUCACCAAGAAAUAUGCUAGGCCAAGAACAUUAAAAUUGGAAGGGAAAGCAAAUUAUUUCCUUCUCUGGAUGACUAAUAUUAUCAUACAUUUAUGUUGUCAAGUGGCUCACGCAUUAUUACUGAACUGAGCUGUACAUAUUACCAUUUGACGAUAACAUCAUGCAAACCAAUGCCAACAAAAGCUACAAUUCAGGGAAUUUUCCAUUAGUUUGUUUCUUUCUUCCAGCUUUUACUAUAAAACUGAAAAUCAAUUAAGGCAAAAUCUGUAUAGAUUGUUUUCUCUCUUCUUUUUUCUGGUGUUUUUUCCAGCUUCCAUGGAAUCAGCAUCCUGUUCUGAACAUCAUUUCUUUGGCAUGACAUCUAAAACCUAUGGUACUACUCAUAAAUCAUGACUCAAUUUCACAUGAGAACUCAAGACAGCAAUACUAAAAAAAAUGUUUUUCUCUGUAGCUGUGCAAAAUGCUUCAGAUUUCAACUAUUUUUUCAGGGUAGUAGUUAAAACGGAAUAACUUUGUUUCACCAUUAACGGAUCUAUCUGAAAUCCUUUCUUUUUUGUCCUCCCUCUUUGAACAGGGUGUUGUAUGUGCACCCUCUUUGAACAGGGUGUUGUAUGUGCAGAGGUUGAUCAUGCAUACAUAUGGACUGAGAAGAUGGUGUGAUGAAGGGUACAAACCGUGGAGAUUGUUGUCGAGCCAUUUGGACUGCUUGGUGCGGAUGUGGCUCGCCCACCACCACGAGUAUGCGUUGCUCGCCGCCCGCUGCAGCAUCCUGCCCUGCCCUUGAGAAUUCUUCAGCUCGGGAUAGAGAAAUUGAAACAGAGGCUGAGGCUGCCAAAAACACCAUAGAACAAGGAAGGUUCAUUACCUGCAUUUGCUGUGCCAAGAAUGAGCUGUUCCUUGCUGACCAUGGAUGAUUUGGAGGAAGAAACGAACACAACAUCGCGGAUGCUUGUGCUUGGUGGGAAGCACAGGAGGCCGUGUAGGUUGGUAGUAGUGGAGAAGAAGUGGCUGGGUUCGCAGACACUGAGUGGUGGGUCCGCCGAUCCUGGUCGCGGCAGGUGAUGCUCUGCACGACGGUAUGAUGAACAAGGAAGCUGUCAGAUAAUCUGACAUGGCUCCGAUUUUGAUUGUUUUUUUUGUGCUGAAUUUUUUUAGCUUCUACCCUCACUUUUUAUUGUUAGCAAGGAAAGAAGUGCCACAAAUAUAGCUCCGUUGUUCCGAAAUAUUCGAAUAAUCGUGAGUAAUCAUCACUUCGUGAGUAAUCAUCACUAUAAUAGAUCAAAAUGACAAACAACGAGUUAUGUGUACUAUGCAUAUUCAAUCUUUAGAUGAGCAGGCGAAAUAA